CGCGUAGGUGGUUUGUUAAGCGAGAUGUGAAAGCCCCGGGCUUAACCUGGGAACGGCAUUUCGAACUGGCAAGCUAGAGUGUGGUAGAGGGUAGUGGAAUUUCCUGUGUAGCGGUGAAAUGCGUAGAUAUAGGAAGGAACACCAGUGGCGAAGGCGGCUACCUGGACCAACACUGACACUGAGGUGCGAAAGCGUGGGGAGCAAACA
rnacentral:rRNA from 1 species